AUGAUACGUAGCCGAACUGAGAGGUUGAUCGGCCACAUUGGGACUGAGACACGGCCCAAACUCCUACGGGAGGCAGCAGUAGGGAAUCUUCCACAAUGGACGCAAGUCUGAUGGAGCAACGCCGCGUGAGUGAAGAAGGUCUUCGGAUCGUAAAACUCUGUUGUUAGAGAAGAACACGAGUGAGAGUAACUGUUCAUUCGAUGACGGUAUCUAACCAGCAAGUCACGGCUAACUACGUGCCAGCAGCCGCGGUAAUACGUAGGUGGCAAGCGUUGUCCGGAUUUAUUGGGCGUAAAGGGAACGCAGGCGGUCUUUUAAGUCUGAUGUGAAAGCCUUCGGCUUAACCGGAGUAGUGCAUUGGAAACUGGAAGACUUGAGUGCAGAAGAGGAGAGUGGAACUCCAUGUGUAGCGGUGAAAUGCGUAGAUAUAUGGAAGAACACCAGUGGCGAAAGCGGCUCUCUGGUCUGUAACUGACGCUGAGGUUCGAAAGCGUGGGUAGCAAACAGGAUUAGAUACCCUGGUAGUCCACGCCGUAAACGAUGAAUGCUAGGUGUUGGAGGGUUUCCGCCCUUCAGUGCCG
rnacentral:rRNA from 1 species